ensembl:lncRNA
CGUUUUUUCACCAGUUUCCAGCUGUCUCGAAAGCACUUGAAGUCGGAAAUGUCCGAGUUCCCAGUUGUUCUGAACACGGCAAGCGCUGUUUGGUUUCGCCUCUGGUCUGCCCACACGGAGAGAUGUCACGAAACAACACAAGUGAACAGGCCAGCCGGAGGCAGCAGGUGGUGGAGGAGGACACAGAGGAUUGGCAGAGAAGUCCAGACUUCACCGGGUUGGAGGAGUGGACCUGUCGUUCAUCGAAGGAGAUGACAUCAACGCCUGUGCCCAGCUAGUGGUGCUCAGCUACCCAGACCUAGAGCUGCUGUAUGAGGACUGUCAGAUGGUGACCCUGACCGCCCCCUACAUCUCAGGGUUCCUGGCCUUCAGGGAGACCCCCUAUCUGCUGGAGGCCCUGCAGCGCCUGGAGACGACCCAGCCCCC